rnacentral:lncRNA from 1 species
CUUGGAAGCCCACCUGAAUAGCGAUUGCAAUUUGAUGAAGAAUACUUAUAGGUAGGUGCAAAUUCUAAAGCUCCCUCCUUCCAACCCUGAAAUACCCCACCAUAUUCUCGUUCCCUACGAAGUUGAUCAAAUUCUUGCAACGCUGUCCAGUCUAGUUUCCUUAUCAGCUGCCUGGCUGAAUUGUCCUCCAAGUAUAGCCUAUAGUUGAGAUCCCCGAACCAGAAAAUCCGACUGUUUCACAACAGAAAAAUUAGCCCGUUAAGGAUGACUUCUUCCAUUCUUUGAUAAUUUUGACUCAUUCAGUUAAUCGGGUCAUCCAGAUACCUUAUAGGUUUUAAAAUCUGGUUAAAUUUUGACAGACUCCUGUGAGUAUUGAGUUUUGGUUACGUUAAAGCAUGCUACUAGUUGUAAAAGCUGUCCUAUCAUUGUCAGUUUUAGGAACUCUUGUAAUUAUUGGGUUGAAUAACUAAUAACGGGAAAAUUUUACUGCUACAUUUCUACUGGGAGGAACACGUACUCGUGUCCUAAGAUGGUGAGAGGAUGAGGAAUAUCAUUGUCUGAAGAGGAUCGAGGGAAAGCCGUUCGCUUAAAAAUCUCUGCGACUUGAUGAUUCCUUCUACCUUCAUCUCCUUUCUUCUCUCCAGAAGCUAAAUGGGCAACAACAAAGCAAAAACUAGUUCUUUCGAUUGUCAUGCUAACUGAAACCGAACCUUUGUUUCCCAAAUAACCCAUGAUGCCACAGGCCACGGAACAAACUUUAACAUUUGAAAUGUCAUAUUUUCUGACCAAUUCACUUUUCAUCCAUACACUAAGGAAGACUCCAACCAUCUUCUUGCUUGCAAUUAGCUUGUACUUACUCACACUCUUUGGCUUUUCUUGUAGGGUUCUUGAUUGCUCCCUCGUGAUUUCAGGUUCGAGUUCAGAAACUUGCACAUAAUUGUAGUUCUCACUAGAAAUUGGAUGCACAAUGGGCGUCAACCAAGGGCACCCGAAUUUUUCGUUGAGAGUUUUCCCUAUCAGCAGGUUCCAGUUUCUUGCUUCGGUUGGGUCUUCCACUCCUAUCACAUUUCGGGUCUUCAAAG